rnacentral:rRNA from 1 species
UGCCUCAGUAACGGCGAGUGAAGCGGCAACAGCUCAAAUUUGAAAUCUGGCCCUUUCAGGGUCCGAGUUGUAAUUUGCAGAGGGUGCUUUGGUGUCGGCCGUGGUCUAAGUUCCUUGGAACAGGACGUCACAGAGGGUGAGAAUCCCGUACGUGGCCGCCGGUCUUCACCGUGUAAAGCCCCUUCGACGAGUCGAGUUGUUUGGGAAUGCAGCUCUAAAUGGGAGAUACAUUUCUUCUAAAGCUAAAUAUUGGCCAGAGACCGAUAGCGCACAAGUAGAGUGAUCGAAAGAUGAAAAGCACUUUGGAAAGAGAGUCAAAAAGCACGUGAAAUUGUUGAAAGGGAAGCGCUUGCAGCCAGACGUGCCCGCAGUUGCUCACCUGGGCUCUCGCCCGGGGCAUUCUUCUGCGGGCAGGCCAGCAUCAGUUCGGGCGGUUGGAUAAAGGCCUCUAUCACGUAUCUUCCUUCGGGAUGACCUUAUAGGGGAGGCGCAACACGACCAGCCUGAACUGAGGACCGCGCAUCAGCUAGGAUGCUGGCGUAAUGGCUGUAAGCGGCCCGUCUUGAAACACGGACCAAGGAGUCUAACAUCUAUGCGAGUGUUUGGGUGUAAAGCCCGGGCGCGCAAUGAAAGUGAACGGAGGUGGGAACCCCUCGGGGUGCACCAUCGACCGAUCCUGAAGUCUUCGGAUGGAUUUGAGUAAGAGCAUAGCUGUUGGGACCCGAAAGAUGGUGAACUAUGCCUGAAUAGGGUG